AUGAACGCUAGCUACAGGCUUAACACAUGCAAGUCGCGGGGCAGCAUGGGGGUUGCUUGCAAUCCCCGAUGGCGACCGGCGCACGGGUGAGUAACGCGUAUUCAACCUGCCCUUCACCACGGGAUAACCCGGCGAAAGUCGGACUAAUACCGUAUGUUGUCCAUUGACGGCAUCCGAUUUGGACGAAAGGCUUGGCGGUGAGGGAUGGGGAUGCGUCCGAUUAGCCAGACGGCGGGGUAACGGCCCACCGUGGCUACGAUCGGUAGGGGUUCUGAGAGGAAGGUCCCCCACACUGGAACUGAGACACGGUCCAGACUCCUACGGGAGGCAGCAGUGAGGAAUAUUGGUCAAUGGGCGUAAGCCUGAACCAGCCAAGUAGCGUGCAGGAUGACGGCCCUAUGGGUUGUAAACUGCUUUUAUGCGGGGAUAAAGUGGCCCACGUGUGGGCUUUUGCAGGUACCGCAUGAAUAAGGACCGGCUAAUUCCGUG
rnacentral:rRNA from 1 species